rnacentral:lncRNA from 1 species
UCUCUCCCUGUCUCUCUCUCCCUCUGUCUCUCUCUCUCCCUCUGUCUCUCUCUCUCCCUGUCUCUCCCUCUGUCUCCCUCUCUCCCUCUGUCUCUCUCUUCCUGUCUCUCUCUCUCCCUCUGUCUCUCUCUCUCCCUGUCUCUCCCUCUGUCUCCCUCUCUCCCUCUGUCUCUCUCUCUCCGUCUCUCUCUCUCCCUGUCUCUCUCUCCGUCUCCCUCUGUCUCUCUCUCCGUCUCUCUCUCCCUCUCUCCGUCUCUCUCUCUCCGUCUCCCUCUGUCUCUCUCUCCGUCUCUCUCUCUCCCUCUCUCCGUCUCUCUCUCUCCGUCUCUCUCUCUCCCUCUCUCCCUCUGUCUCUCUCCGUCUCUCUCUCUCCCUCUCUCUCUUUCUCCCUCUCUCCCUCUGUCUCUCUCUGUCUCUGUCUCCCUCUCUCUCUCUCUCUCCUUCUCUCUCCCUCUCUCUGUCUCUCUCUCCCUCUGUCUCUCUCUCCGUCUCUCCCUCUCCGUCUCUCUCUCUCCCUCUCUCUCUCUCUCCCUGUGUCUCUCUCUCCCUGUCUCCCUCUGUCUCUCUCUCCCUGUCUCUCUCUCUCCGUCUCUCUCUCCCUCUCUUUCUCCGUCUCUCCCUCUGUCUCUCUCUCCCUCUCUCUCUCUCUCCCUCUUUCUCUCUCCCUCUCCCUCUCUCCCUCUGUCUCUCUCUCCCACUCUCUCUCUCCCUCUUUCUCUCUCCCUCUGUCUCUCUCUCUCCGUCUCCCUCUCUCCGUCUCUCUCUCUCCCCCUCUUUCCCGCUGUCUCCCUCUCUCCUCUCUCUCUCCGUCUCUCUCUCCUUCUCUUUCUCCCUGUCUCUGUCUCUCUCCCCAUCUGUCUUUCUCUGUGUCCCUCUCCCCAGUUCUCUUUAUCUCCUCUCCUGCCUCAUCUCCCUCUCCUCACUGUCUCUGUCUCUCAUUCUCCCUAUCGUUCUCUCCAUCUCUCUCUCCUCCUUCUCGUCUGUUUCUCUCUGUCUCUCCAUCUGUCUCAUCUGUCUCUUCCUCCCACCUCUUUUCUGUGUCUCUGUCUCCUCCCCCCAACUUUCUCUCAGUCUCCCUCAGCACCCCCUGUUUCUCUUUCUUACUCUCCCUUUUCUCCCCAUCUCUCUGUCUCUCCCUGGCUUUGUAUCUCUGUGUCUCUUUCUCUCUGUCUUCUUCUAUCUCUGUCUCUCCCCAUCUUCUGUCUCUGCCUCUCCUCCACUUCUUUCUCUGCCUCUCCCCCACUUCUCUGUCUCUCCCCCACUUCUAUCUCUGACUCUCCCCCACUUCUCUGUCUCUCUCUCCCCCACUUCUCUCUGUCUCUGUUUCUCCCCCACUUCUAUCUCUGUCUCUCCCCCAUUUCUCUCUCUGUCUCUCCCCACUUCUCUCUGUCUCUCCCCAUUUCUAUCUGUCUCUCCCCCUUCUGUCUCUCCCCCAUUUCUAUCUCUCUCUCCCCCACUUCUCUGUCUCUGUCUCCCCCACUAUCUCUGUCUCUCCCCCACUUCUCUCUGUCUCUCCCCCACUUCUCUGUCUCUGUCUCCCCCACUUCUAUCUCUGUCUCUCCAUUUCUCUCUGUCUCUGUCUCUCCCCCACUUCUCUCUGUCUCUCCUCCACUUCCUCUAUCUCUGUCUCUCCCCCAUUUCUCUGUCUCUGUCUCUCCCCCACUUCUCUCUGUCUCUCCCCCACUUCUAUCUCUGUCUCUCCUCUACUUCUCUCUGUCUCUGCCUCUCCCCCACUUCUAUCUCUGUCUCUUCCCCAUUUCUAUCUCUGACUGUCCCCCACUUCUCUCUGCCUCUCUCCCACCAUUUCUCUCUGUCUCUGUCUCUACCCCCAUUUCUGUCUCUGUCUCUCCCCCCAUUUCUCUCCAUCUCUGUCUGUCUCUCCUGUCUCUGACUCCUCCUCUCUCCCCAGCUCCCUGGACGAAGCCCUCCGGGGCCUCUGCGGUCCCUGCUGAAUAAAGCUGUUUCUGUCCUCACCUCUCUCCCUUCUGCGCCUCC